AUUCUAUGGGUCCAUUGACCCUCUGCUCUUGUGCUCCGAGGCUUUGUAAACAAAACCUAAUCAUUUUAAAUAUAUGAAAAUGAUAAAAAGAAAACACAAGCGUUAAUUGAAGAAAAACUAUUAUUUUCAAACAAAACAGGAGGUUAGGUUAAAGAUGCUGUAAAGUCCGUAAUGUAAACAAACGCUUUGUUUACAUUUUGAACUGGUAUAUUUGUGAAAUAUGAUAUACUAACUGAAUAUCUAACACUUUUCUGGUUCGCUAUGCUUGCAAAUGAAUAUAAACUCUAUGUUUCAAUUCAAAAAAGUUAGAAAGAUGCAAAUUUGGGCAAUGUUUAUAUCUGCGGGUCCCUCUUUGUUAUGAGCAGAACUGAUGCGCAGAACGGACUUUACAGCACUUUUAAUAAUACAGGUGAAAUUCUAAACAUAUACUUUACAACAAGACACAUUAAGUAAAGUUAUACUCUUAACUUUAUAUUUAUAAGUCUAUAAAUUGAUCAUGUCACGUCUUGCACCCAAUUGUUUAUUUAUGCAAUAAUUUACUUGGCUCUUACUAUAUAUUUAAUACUUUUAACUAUUACUCUAUCUUCUUGGACCAUAUGGCCGGCGGCGAUGUCUUGAUGUUUCAGGGAUUCC
rnacentral:lncRNA from 1 species